ACCUUUCAAAUUCUCAAAACAUUGUCAGUUCUUAUAAUCCAGUAUUAGUCUGCUUGGGUUUGAUUUCUGUUUGUAUUUUUACUAUCCAGGGAGAAACAGACUCUGGCAACCUUUAGUCUGAGCACUGUCAACUCUUAUUGUAGGAAUAAGGGUUGGUGUCUGGUUGCUUUCAGAUCGAUAUUCAGUACGAUUUGACUUUCUGCUUAAGAGAGGGCCGAGCUAUUCAGGAUUGGGAGGAGGUAUCGGAGGUAGGUCUGGAGUGAGCUGGAGCCAUCUCAGCCAUAGACAUAACCCCUGUAGAGCAUAAACAAUACUGAUUUAACUACUGAACUGGUAGAAGGAGCCCAGUUUUUAAAGAACAGUCUGGAUACUCUUGUGAUUGUAGCAUCUGAAGUACAUAGCAACAUUAGAACUAAAAUUGUAUUAUAUUUCACAACAUCCUGGUAAUAGAAGAAAUUCUGGUACAAGGGUCGACAAAAGUCUUGGGAGUCUUUAAGUGAACUUCAAUCAUUUUUGGAUCAGGUCCUGAAAAAGGUGGAUAGAAGUAACCAAGGUGUGAGCUCGUUAUGUGCAGCUCUUUGGGCAAAAAGCCAGGAUGGAAGAAAGCAGGACAAAAUUCGCUAACCAUUCUCCCUCCAGUGCUGUAUGGAUAGGUAUAUAUAUAUAGAAUGUGAUUUAAAAUAUUGCUGCAGUGUUUGAAGAUCUCGGUAUUCUUAUAUCCUGCCACCAAAAUAUUAAUCUCCAAUUCAGUGAGCCUAAAAAUGUUCACUUGGAGAUUUUGAUAAUUGGAUUUUUUGAAGAAUUUAACAUUAUUAAAUAGUGUUCAUUGCCUAUCUGUUAUUUUAGUUUCCUCAUCUGAA
rnacentral:lncRNA from 1 species